rnacentral:rRNA from 1 species
UACGGAGGGUGCGAGCGUUGUCCGGAAUCACUGGGCGUAAAGGGCGCGUAGGCGGCCUGAUAAGUAGGGGGUGAAAUCCUGCGGCUUAACCGCAGGGCUGCCUUCUAAACUGUCAGGCUGGAGCACAGUAGAGGCAGGUGGAAUUCCCGGUGUAGCGGUGGAAUGCGUAGAGAUCCGGAAGAACACCGGUGGCGAAGGCGGUCUGCUGGGCAGUAGCUGACACUGAGGCGCGACAGCGUGGGGAGCAAACAGG